rnacentral:rRNA from 1 species
UACGGGGGGGGCAAGCGUUGUUCGGAAUUACUGGGCGUAAAGGGCUCGUAGGCGGCCAACUAAGUCCGACGUGAAAUCCCCAGGCUUAACCUGGGAACUGCGUCGGAUACUGGUUGGCUUGAAUCCGGGAGAGGGAUGCGGAAUUCCAGGUGUAGCGGUGAAAUGCGUAGAUAUCUGGAGGAACACCGGUGGCGAAGGCGGCGUUCUGGACUGUAACUGACACUGAGAAACGAAAGCCAGGGUAGCAAACGGG